GGCAUGCUUUACACAUGCAAGUCGGACGGCAGCACAGAGAAGCUUGCUUCUUGGGUGGCGAGUGGCGAACGGGUGAGUAACAUAUCGGAACGUACCGAGUAGUGGGGGAUAACUGAUCGAAAGAUCAGCUAAUACCGCAUACGUCUUGAGAGGGAAAGCAGGGGACCUUCGGGCCUUGCGCUAUUCGAGCGGCCGACAUCUGAUUAGCUAGUUGGUGGGGUAAAGGCCUACCAAGGCGACGAUCAGUAGCGGGUCUGAGAGGAUGAUCCGCCACACUGGGACUGAGACACGGCCCAGACUCCUACGGGAGGCAGCAGUGGGGAAUUUUGGACAAUGGGCGCAAGCCUGAUCCAGCCAUGCCGCGUGUCUGAAGAAGGCCUUCGGGUUGUAAAGGACUUUUGUCAGGGAAGAAAAGGCUGUUGCUAAUAUCAGCGGCUGAUGACGGUACCUGAAGAAUAAGCACCGGCUAACUACGUGCCAGCAGCCGCGGUAAUACGUAGGGUGCGAGCGUUAAUCGGAAUUACUGGGCGUAAAGCGAGCGCAGACGGUUACUUAAGCAGGAUGUGAAAUCCCCGGGCUCAACCUGGGAACUGCGUUCUGAACUGGGUGACUAGAGUGUGUCAGAGGGAGGUAGAAUUCCACGUGUAGCAGUGAAAUGCGUAGAGAUGUGGAGGAAUACCGAUGGCGAAGGCAGCCUCCUGGGAUAACACUGACGUUCAUGCUCGAAAGCGUGGGUAGCAAACAGGAUUAGAUACCCUGGUAGUCCACGCCCUAAACGAUGUCAAUUAGCUGUUGGGCAACUUGAUUGUUCAGUAGCGUA
rnacentral:rRNA from 1 species